AUUGAACGCUGGCGGCAUGCUUUACACAUGCAAGUCGAACGGUAACAGGCCGCAAGGUGCUGACGAGUGGCGAACGGGUGAGUAAUGCAUCGGAACGUGCCCAGUCGUGGGGGAUAACGCAGCGAAAGCUGCGCUAAUACCGCACACGAUCUAUGGAUGAAAGCGGGGGACCGUAAGGCCUCGCGCGAUUGGAGCGGCCGAUGUCAGAUUAGGUAGUUGGUGGGGUAAAGGCUCACCAAGCCAACGAUCUGUAGCUGGUCUGAGAGGACGACCAGGCACACUGGGACUGAGACACGGCCCAGACUCCUACGGGAGGCAGCAGUGGGGAAUUUUGGACAAUGGGCGCAAGCCUGAUCCAGCAAUGCCGCGUGCAGGAAGAAGGCCUUCGGGUUGUAAACUGCUUUUGUACGGAACGAAACGGUCCUGGUUAAUACCCGGGGCUAAUGACGGUACCGUAAGAAUAAGCACCGGCUAACUACGUGCCAGCAGCCGCAGUAACAC
rnacentral:rRNA from 1 species